GUAGAUCCAGCCAUGCCGCGUGCGGGAAGAAGGCCUUCGGGUUGUAAACCGCUUUUGUCAGGGAAGAAAUCUUCUGAGCUAAGUACCUCGGGGGGAUGACGGUACCUGGAGAAUAAGCACCGGCUAACUACGUGCCAGCAGCCGCGGUAAUACGUAGGGUGCAAGCGUUAAUCGGAAUUACUGGGCGUAAAGCGUGCGCAGGCGGUUGUGCAAGACAGAUGUGAAAUCCCCGGGCUUAACCUGGGAACUGCAUUUGUGACUGCACGGCUAGAGUGCGGCAGAGGGGGAUGGAAUUCCGCGUGUAGCAGUGAAAUUCGUAGAUAUCGGGAGGAACACCAGUGGCGAAGGCGGAAACCUGGGGCCGAUACUGACGCUGAGGUGCGAAAGCGUGGGGAGCAAACAGGAUUAGAUACCUGGUAGUCCACGCCGUAAACGAUGAGCGCUAGGUGUUGGGGGUAUUGACCCCCCAGUACCGCAGCUAACGCGUUAAGCGCUCCGCCUGGGGAGUACGGCCGCAAGGCUAAAACUCAAAGGAAUUGACGGGGGC
rnacentral:rRNA from 1 species